rnacentral:rRNA from 1 species
UGAGGAAUAUUGGUCAAUGGACGAGAGUCUGAACCAGCCAAGUAGCGUGCAGGAUGACGGCCCUAUGGGUUGUAAACUGCUUUUGUUUGGGAAUAAUCGACAUUACGUGUAAUGUUUUGCAUGUACCAUUCGAAUAAGGACCGGCUAAUUCCGUGCCAGCAGCCGCGGUAAUACGGAAGGUCCAGGCGUUAUCCGGAUUUAUUGGGUUUAAAGGGAGUGUAGGCGGUUGGUUAAGCGUGUUGUGAAAUGUAGAUGCUCAACAUCUGACUUGCAGCGCGAACUGGCUGACUUGAGUACACACAACGUAGGCGGAAUUCAUGGUGUAGCGGUGAGAUGCUUAGAUAUCAUGAAGAACUCCGAUUGCGAAGGCAGCUUACGGGAGCGCAACUGACGCUGAAGCUCGAAGGUGCGGGUAUCGAACAGG